ACUGUUAGUCAGUAUUUCAAUAGCAGUAAUUAGCAGUGUUAACCAGUAUUUUAAUGACAGACCCAUGUUUCUGUUUAAGAAUCCAGGUCCUCAAGUCCCUACACCCCGCCAGGUCAUGGGUUCUUCAAGAAACACAAGGGGGAGCUAGAGGUCCGUCUUGGUAUCCUUGCACCUCUUCUGAUCGACCUGGAGCGCAACAAUGCCAUCACCGCUCUGGAAAGGGAGGAGGUGGAAAGCAGGUCAACCACACAGGAAAAGAACUAUACCCUCAUGACCAUGCUGGACAGGAGAGGCACCAAGGCCCAGGAUAGGUUUUAUGAGGCUCUGAAAGCUCAUGACCCUCUACUGGUGGAGGACAUUGAGCAGUCUGCAAUGUAGGUCUUCUGCUGUGCGCUUUUGAGAAAGGAGAUUUGAAUAUUUAGCCUUAAAAUGUUAAUUGUGUGUCAAUCACAGAUGUAUUGUUUAACUCAUGGGGCAUUUAGAUUUUUACUUAAAUUCUAAUAUGAAAACAGGUAAACCAAAACGAGCCGUUGUUUUCUCCGAUCUGCCUUUUUAAGCAUAAACAUUUUAUCAAAAAUUUUCAUUUAAUAAGGAAGACUUGUCCCUGCCAGAUUUGGCUAUAGAUUUGAGUCUCGUCAUUUGUGUAAAUGUUAAAAUGUUGUAAAUCAGGGAUGGAUGUCAAAAUGAACGUCAUUGCAUCUAUGUAAAAAACAAACUUUUGAAUGUUUCUUUUUCAUUCUAUUUCAUUUCAUCCUCUAUUUCAAUUUCCAUUUGUUUCUGUUGAACAAGGUUGAGAACUUUGAGAAAUAUUUUGCAUUUCUUAUCUGUAGAUCCCAUUUUUUAACAGCAAUAUAUAAUAUAUAAUAAUAUCAUCAUAAUGAUCAUGUAAGUCCAAGGCUCUCUCUGAAAGCUAAAAGUAGCAGUGAGGGUUAGAGUUCACUCACAACCCUCACAUAGAUAAGAGGGAAAACCAUUGACCGAUACCAACACCAAGAAGUCAGGUUUUUAGAUACAUUAGCCUACAACGUAUUGGUUUGCCGUUCCUGGUUGGAAACAUUCUGUCACAUUUCGUUACUUCUUUCUUUUACACUCUUCUUUACAAUAUUGUCAUCAAAAUAGGAUUUUAAAUAAAUAUAAAAAUGCAAUCAAA